UUAAGGAACAAGGAAGACCUUGUAGGAACUUGUCUUAUGUUGUAAUAAUAAGAUUGUAUGCUAAUAAGAAGCAAGGAUGAUGGUUAAAAAAACAUAAAUCAUUAUAAGUCAUGAGAAAUGAAAGUGUAUGUAUUUUAUACUUUAAUAAAGUUAUAAGAUCACAAAGAACAAGCAAGAACUUACCAUAUAUAUAAGUUAAUGAAAUGAAUAGGUUAAGAUGUUAAUAUGAUGGAUAGAAUCCAUUCGAAAUGAAGAACAAAUCAUAAGUAAUGAAGUUAUGGCGGAAUUCACGAGUUCGGACGAUAAUCGUCGAAUUUGUAAAAUUCUCGGAAUGGAGGUCGAAUUUUGAUAUUGAGCUUGGAAACAUUAGUUUUCAAUGGAGACAAGUCUCAUUUGGCAUUAUAGAGUUGCGGACUCAAAAAUGACCGAAUUCUGACUUAGAACGAAGAAACGAGUGUUGAAUGUUCACGAACAUUUAUCGUUUUCGUUAAAAUGGACUGAUAGGUGAAUUUUUAGUUAACGAAGUCAAAUAGAUUAAAUUCUUGCAUGAACACGUAGAGUAUGUAAUUUUUGAACUGUAGGCUCUUGAUCGAGCCAAUUUAGACUUAUAACGAAGAAGUUAUGAGGCCAGGAAUCUCGCCUAAGAAAUUAAC
rnacentral:lncRNA from 1 species